rnacentral:rRNA from 1 species
CCUACGGGUGGCAGCAGUGGGGAAUAUUGCACAAUGGGGGAAACCCUGAUGCAGCGACGCCGCGUGAGUGAAGAAGGAUUUCGGUAUGUAAAACUCUGUCAGCAGGGAAGAAAAUGACGGUACCUGACUAUGAAGCCCCGGAUAACUACGUGCCAGCAGCCGCGGUAUUACGUAGGGGGCAAGCGUUAUCCGGAUUUACUGGGUGUAAAGGGAGCGUAGGCGGCUGGGCAAGUCAGGAGUGAAAGGCGGGGGCUCAACCCUCGGACUGCUCGGGAAACUGCCAGGCUGGAGUGCAGGAGAGGUAAGUGGAAUUCCUGGUGUAGCGGUGAAAUGCGUAGAUAUUAGGAGGAACACCAGUGGCGAAGGCGGCUUACUGGACUGUAACUGACGUUGAGGCUCGAAAGCGUGGGGAGCAAACAGGAUUAGAUACCCGUGUAGUC